UCUGGUUGAUCCUGCCAGUAGUUAUAUGCUUGUCUCAAAGAUUAAGCCAUGCAUGUCUAAGUACACACGAAUUAAAAGUGAAACCGCAAAAGGCUCAUUAUAUCAGUUAUGGUUCCUUAGAUCGUUAACAGUUACUUGGAUAACUGUGGUAAUUCUAGAGCUAAUACAUGCAAUUAAAACAUGAACCUUAUGGGACAUGUGCUUUUAUUAGGCUAAAACCAAGCGAUCGCAAGAUCGUUAUAUUGGUUGAACUCUAGAUAACAUGCAGAUCGUAUGGUCUUGUACCGACGACAGAUCUUUCAAAUGUCUGCCCUAUCAACUUUUGAUGGUAGUAUCUAGGACUACCAUGGUUGCAACGGGUAACGGGGAAUCAGGGUUCGAUUCCGGAGAGGGAGCCUGAGAAACGGCUACCACAUCUAAGGAAGGCAGCAGGCGCGUAAAUUACCCACUCCCAGCUCGGGGAGGUAGUGACGAAAAAUAACAAUACAGGACUCAUAUCCGAGGCCCUGUAAUUGGAAUGAGUACACUUUAAAUCCUUUAACAAGGACCAAUUGGAGGGCAAGUCUGGUGCCAGCAGCCGCGGUAAUUCCAGCUCCAAUAGCGUAUAUUAAAGUUGUUGCGGUUAAAACGUUCGUAGUUGAACUUGUGCUUCAUACGGGUAGUACAACUUACAAUUGUGGUUAGUACUAUACCUUUAUGUAUGUAAGCGUAUUACCGGUGGAGUUCUUAUAUGUGAUUAAAUACUUGUAUUUUUUCAUAUGUUCCUCCUAUUUAAAAACCUGCAUUAGUGCUCUUAAACGAGUGUUAUUGUGGGCCGGUACUAUUACUUUGAACAAAUUAGAGUGCUUAAAGCAGGCUUCAAAUGCCUGAAUAUUCUGUGGCAUGGGAUAAUGAAAUAGACCUCUGUUCUGCUUUCAUUGGUUUUCAGAUCAAGAGGUAAUGAUUAUAGAAGCAGUUUGGGGGCAUUAGUAUUACGACGCGAGAGGUG
rnacentral:rRNA from 1 species